rnacentral:rRNA from 1 species
CCUACGGGUGGCAGCAGUGAGGAAUAUUGGUCAAUGGACGAGAGUCUGAACCAGCCAAGUAGCGUGAAGGAUGACUGCCCUAUGGGUUGUAAACUUCUUUUAUAAAGGAAUAAAACGAGGCACGUGUGCCUUUUUGCAUGUACUUUAUGAAUAAGGAUCGGCUAACUCCGUGCCAGCAGCCGCGGUAAUACGGAGGAUCCGAGCGUUAUCCGGAUUUAUUGGGUUUAAAGGGAGCGUAGAUGGGUUGUUAAGUCAGUUGUGAAAGUUUGCGGCUCAACCGUAAAAUUGCAAUUGAUACUGGCAGUCGUGAGUACAGUUGAGGUAGGCGGAAUUCGUGGUGUAGCGGUGAAAUGCUUAGAUAUCACGAAGAACCACGAUUGCGAAGGCAGCUUACUAAACUGUGACUGACAUUGAUGCUCGAAAGUGUGGGUAUCAAACAGGAUUAGAUACCCCAGUAGUC